rnacentral:misc_RNA from 1 species
UUUCCGUAGGUGAACCUGCGGAAGGAUCAUUACCGAGUACCGGGUCUUCUAGGCCCUUACUCCCACCCUUUGUGUACCUACCGAUAUUUCGUUGCCUUGGCGGGGUUGAUCCUGGGGCCUCGCGGCUCUGGAGGACCCGCCAGGGGGACACACAUCAAACUCUUGUUAACCGUACCGUCUGAGAAAACACUUAAUAAGUUAAAACUUUCAACAACGGAUCUCUUGGUUCUGGCAUCGAUGAAGAACGCAGC